AACCGCGUCGUAGAUGGUCGGUGUCGUUGCGUUCUAAAUUCAAAUCUUUUUUUAUUUGUUUAAAACUUGUUCAGUAGCCUCUUUUCUCUAAGUUCGUCAACCAGUUACAUAGUUGCAUUACCAUAAUAAAUUACCAUAUCUUUUUUUAAAGAAAAAAAAAGUUAUUUCUAUCUGUGACUUUUGGUGUUAUACCUGUGUUAAUUCAAGUUAAUCUUCGAUACUACUAGUAUGGACAAGGCUGAAUGGAAUUGUGCUUGUGACUUUUGUGAUGGUACAUGGCCCUAACUAGGCAGCUGCAAGAUGGCGGUGUCUGGAGACACCACGGUCGCCCAGAAUGACGGCCAGGGGAAUGUCAAACUGCACCCGUAUUUAGUGGCUUUGGUCCGCUGGUGUGU
rnacentral:lncRNA from 1 species